UACAGAGGUCCCGAGCGUUGUUCGGAUUCACUGGGCGUAAAGGGUGCGUAGGUGGCCUGAAAAGUUUGAUGUGAAAGCUCAGGGCUUAACCCUGAAAUGGCAUUGAAUACUGUCGGGCUGGAGGUUUGGAGGGGGGACUGGAGUUCUUGGUGUAGCAGUGAAAUGCGUAGAUAUCAAGAGGAACACCAGUGGCGAAGGCGAGUCCCUGGACAACACCUGACACUGAGGCACGAAAGCUAGGGGAGCAAACAGG
rnacentral:rRNA from 1 species